UACACAAUUGGGUGGACUGGUUAGAGGUAACUUACAACGUAUCACCCUACAGCUGAAAAGAUGAUGCACUUGUUGAUAUUCGCGUAUCUGCUCGUGACCACAUACAGUGAAGACACUCCGGCACAUCCAGCUAACGCCAAGGUACUCCCAGGAGAUGUGAAACAACAUCAUAUUGUCAUUACAACAAUGUGUCGUCCUCAAGAGGUAGAUAACGAGGACAUUCAAGCACAUCCAGCUAACGCUCAGGUACUCCCGGGAGAUGAGAAACAAUAUCAUAUUGUCAUUACAGGACUGUGUCGUCCUCAGGAGACAGAAAACGUGGAAAUUCAGGACGAAACCACCGUCACAACGCUACAGAGAAGAAAACAGCUACUCUCGAUGGUUGGUGUUUUGGUUUUAGUGGUUGUGAUACUGUGGGGAGCAAUCAUAUCGUGUCUUGUCUUAUGUAAGAAGAUAGCGAUGUUGAGGUUCCCGGCGGGAUUGCUUUAAAGUCUCAUCGUAUGUAUGAUCGAGUAGACUAAAAACACCAAAUCGGAAUGAUGGAAUUGGUUGUAACAGAGGCGUCAACACGAGGAAACACAUAGCGAAACCAGCCAUAAAGUCCAAUGAAGACUCGGCCUUAUCAAACCAUACGUGAUGUGACUAGUUUUUGUGUCAGACAUCCGUGUGACUCACUGUCUUCAAUAUUGGUAUUAACAGCUACUCCUGAUAUGCCACCUGUUACUUCCGAACUUUCAGUAAUGUUAGAGUCCAUUUCUGCUCCACCUGUGAGUAUACCAGUGAUAUCCACGAUCAUUAUCGACAAGGAGUCCUGUCUGAGUUUAGUCUGUGUAGCUCGGUUAUAGACGAGGACAAUGACACUUUGGUUCUAACCUUAUUAGACGUGUCUGUGGGCGUCCUAUUUCACGAUGACAUUGCCCACAAACGGUUCCAUAUCAGCGAAUAUUUGUCUUUUUCUAUGUGCGUGAUUAUCUUCUCAUGGGGAAAUGAAGUUUUAUGAUGAGCACGAUUGUGUAAAACGCAGGACAGUGUCUUGUAUUAUUUCAUUUGGCGGUCAUUACAUCAUACACAUCCAG